AUGGUCACCGGAAACUUACAGAUGCCUACCUCGAUUGCACGGGUGCUACUCUCCACAUUGCGCCUUUUUGGCCGGGAACUAAGAGAUGGGUAUCCGACGACCCUGCACCCAAACCUGUUACCAACAAUAAACAUCUUUUAUUGGCUAGUUAUUUGCCAAGGGGCACUGUACCUAUCUGCGUGUUUAUUUGGUUCGUUUGCCAAAGGCCGAGGCUCUGCAGCUAUAUAUCAAGAGAGUCAAAACGUCCAAAGCUCUGCUACUUUGCAUCUGGUUGGGACCGCAGAUCUGACUCCACCUGCAGAACAAAACUCUGCUAUUGUGCAACCAUCGGUUGGGACCGAAGAUCAGACUACUCCUGCUGGAUGCAUACUUGUUGGAACAAUCUCAGUUCCACUGCCCUGA
rnacentral:rRNA from 1 species